rnacentral:rRNA from 1 species
CAAAGUUGUGUAGUGCGAUCGGUGGAUGCCUUGGCACCAAGAGCCGAUGAAGGACGUUGUGACCUGCGAUAAGCCCUGGGGAGUUGGUGAGCGAGCUGUGAUCCGGGGGUGUCCGAAUGGGGAAACCUGGAAUGUCCGGAGUAGUGUCCGGUGGCCCUGCCCUGAAUGUAUAGGGGUGUGGGUGGUAACGCGGGGAAGUGAAACAUCUUAGUACCCGUAGGAAGAGAAAACAAGUGUGAUUCCGUGAGUAGUGGCGAGCGAAAGCGGAGGAGGCUAAACCGUGUGUGUGUUCAAGCCGGCAGGUGUUGCAUGUGCGGGGUUGUGGGGGCCUUGUGGUUCUGCUGCCGCAGGAUUGGCCAGUGAGAAAUGUUGCGUGAAGGUGAAGCGUCUGGGAAGGCGUACCGGAGUGGGUGAGAGUCCUGUAACUGUAAGCGUGGCGCUGGUGUGGGGUUGCCCCGAGUAGCGUGGGACUCGUGGAAUUUCGCGUGAAUCUGGCGGGACCACCCGUCAAGCCUAAAUACUCCUUGGUGACCGAUAGUGGAUGAGUACCGUGAGGGAAGGGUGAAAAGUACCCCGGGAGGGGAGUGAAAGAGUUCCUGAAACCGGUCGCAUGCAAGCCGUCAGAGCCUGUGUGGUGAUGGCGUGCCUUUUGAAGAAUGAGCCUGCGAGUUAGUGAUGCGUGGCGAGGUUAACCCGUGGUGGGGGAGUCGUAGCGAAAGCGAGUCCGAUAAGGGCGUGAGUCGCGUGUUCUAGACCCGAAGCGGUGUGAUCUAUCCAUGGCCAGGAUGAAGCGUCGGUAAGACGUCGUGGAGGUCCGAACCCACUUCAGUUGAAAAUGGAGGGGAUGAGUUGUGGAUAGGGGUGAAAGGCCAAUCAAACACCGUGAUAGCUGGUUCUCCCCGAAAUGCAUUUAGGUGCAGCGUUGCGUGGUUCUUGUUGGAGGUAGAGCACUGGAUGGUCUAGGGGGCUUAUCGGCUUACCGAAAUCAGCCAAACUCCGAAUGCUGGCAAGUGUAGCGUGGCAGUGAGACGGCGGGGGAUAAGCUUCGUCGUCGAGAGGGAAACAGCCCAGAUCAUCAGCUAAGGCCCCUAAGUGGUGACUCAGUGGGAAAGGAUGUGGAGUUGCGUAGACAACCAGGAGGUUGGCUUGGAAGCAGCCAUCCUUGAAAGAGUGCGUAAUAGCUCACUGGUCAAGUGAUUCCGCGCCGAUAAUGUAGCGGGGCUUAAGUUAUCCGCCGAAGCUGUGGCAACCUGUGUGGUUGGGUAGGGGAGCGUCGUGUCAGUGGUGAAGCUGCCGGGUGACUGUGUGGUGGAGUUGAUGCGAGUGAGAAUGCAGGCAUGAGUAGCGUGUGACGGGUGGGAAUCCCGUCCGCCGAUUAUCCAAGGGUUCCAGGGUCAAGUUUGUCUGCCCUGGGUGAGUCGGGUCCUAAGGCGAGGCCGACAGGCGUAGUCGAUGGGUAACCAGUUGAUAUUCUGGUACCGGCUUGUCACCGUCCGUGUCGAGGUGUGUGAUGCUAAGCAUGUGAGCUUGUCUUGGGAGUGUUUUUGAUGCUUCUGGGGUGGGUGAGUGUGUGAACCGAUCAUGUAGUAGGCAAGCUGCGGAGGGACGCAGUGAGGUAGCUCAUCCCCGGUGAUGGUUGUCCGGGGCUAAGUGUGUGGACUGUCUGGUAGGUAAAUCCGCUGGGCGUGAAGGUUGAGGCAUGAUGGGGAGCCCAUGGUUGUGGGUGAGUGAGUGAUCCUGUACUGUCGAGAAAAGCUUCGUGAGCGAGGUGGCGGGUCCGCCCGUACCCUAAACCGACACUGGUGGAUAGGUAGAGUAUACCGAGGCGAUCGAGUGAAUCGUGGUGAAGGAACUCGGCAAAAUGCCCCCGUAACUUUGGGAUAAGGGGGACCUGAGCUGUCGUGCACCCGUGCGGUGUGGUGGCGGUGAGGGGCGCAGAGUCCAGGGGGAAACGACUGUUUACCAAAAACACAGGUCCGUGCGAAGUCGUAAGACGAUGUAUACGGACUGACUCCUUCCCGGUGCUGGAAGGUUAAGGGGAACUGUGAGUGUAUGCUUAGCGGUGAACUUAAGCCCCAGUAAACGGCGGUGGUAACUAUAACCAUCCUAAGGUAGCGAAAUUCCUUGUCGGGUAAGUUCCGACCUGCACGAAUGGAGUAACGACUUGGGCGCUGUCUCAACCGUGGACUCGGCGAAAUUGCACUACGAGUAAAGAUGCUCGUUACGCGCGGCAGGACGGAAAGACCCCGGGACCUUUACUAUAGUUUGGUAUUGGUGUUUGGUUCG